AUGAACGCAGUCCUGGAGGCUGAAUAUACUAGAGCAGAGGUGAAAGCUGCUCUCGAUCAUAUUGGUGAUCUCAAAGCUCCCGGGCCAGAUGGUAUGCCGGUGAUCGUCUUCAAGCGCCAUUGGCAUUUUAUGGGGGACCGAGUCGUGGAGGAAGUUCUGAACGUUCUGAACGGAGGAGACUUCCCGGAGGGGUGGAAUGAUACUAUGGCUGUGCUUAUUCCCAAGGUGAAGAACCCAAAAAGGAUCAAAGAUCUCCGUCCCAUUAGCCUAUGCAAUGUCGUGUACAAACUUGUUUCGAAGGUCAUAGCAAAUAGACUAAAGGUGGUACUGCCUGAUGUGAUCUCCGAAAACCAAAGUGCCUUUGUGCCAGGGAGACUUAUCACAGAUAACGUGCUAACAGCCUAUGAAAUAUCUCAUUAUCUGAUGAACAAAAGGAAUGGGAGGAGUGGAGUCGCGGCAAUUAAGGCAGACAUGAGUAAGGCAUACGAUAGGGUUGAAUGGAGCUUUUUGAAGGCUAUGUUAAGCAAGUUGGGGUUUAGUAGGAGGUGGGUUGCGCUUGUCAUGAGAUGUGUUCGGACUGUUCGGUACCAGAUUAAGGUGAAUGGGGGUCUGACCCAACAGUUUAGCCCAUCGCGUGGUCUCCGACAGGGGGACCCCAUCUCCCCCUAUCUUUUUGUCAUCUGUGCGGAAGGAUUGUCGGUGCUGUUAUUGGAUGCAGAAGAGAAGGGGGUGAUGCACGGAGUGAAGAUCUGCCCAAGGGCACCGUGUGUAUCACAUCUACUAUUUGCGGACGACUCCAUGCUCCUGAUCAGAGCAGACCAACAGGAAGCAUUGCAGUUAUAUGAAGCGUGCUCGGGGCAGUGUAUAAACACGGAAAAAAAAUCUGCAAUUAUGUUCAGCCCUAACACAUGCGAUAAUGAUAGAACUGCAGUAAAGGCCGAGUUGGGUAUACACAGUGAGGAUUGGAAUGAAAAAUAUUUAGGGUUGCCAGUCCACGUGGGGCGAUCCAGGAAGAGAGCUUUUAGCUACAUCAAGAGGAAUAUAUGUGGACGUGUUUAUGGAUGGCAGGAGAGAUUGCUAGCAAAGGAAAGUAAGGAGGCUUUGGUGAAGGCGGUGGGGCAGGCCAUACCCACCUACGCUAUGUCAUGUUUUGAUCUGACUAAGACCUUCUGUUCGGAGUUGAACACACUACUGCGUAACUUUUGGUGGAGUCAGCAAGAUAAACAAAAUGCCAUGCAU
rnacentral:rRNA from 1 species